CUGACACGCCAUGCUGCUCUCACAGUACACACCUUGUUCUCACACAGCGAAUAAUACAUCGUGGACCAAAGAGGAAACUGACAACACACAGACAGAAGAAGACAGAGAAGGUCACUUCUGAUCCAUCAAAGUCCUCAUCUUCUGUGUCUGAGUUGAACAGCUUUCUUCAUCUAACAUGCCGGGUUCCCUCUCAUCAUGGUUGAUCACUGCCAGUGUACGUAUUACAUCCCUGUGUCAGCGGGAAAUGGUCUGACAGUCAGCCUCGCGUGGAGACUUCAGAAGAUACCAGACCUCACAAAGAUUUCAGAAAGCUGCUAAAUAAUCCUUAUAUUGUAAUCAUUGUCCUAAAAGGGAGGAACUUGUCAGCAAAUCUACUUCACAGCACAUCAGUGAAAGCAGUUAACAGUUACAGACGGGUGUUGGAUCAGGGUCAGAUCUGAAUUCUGCAGGUUUCCUGGGAUGACCGUUGGCCUGGACAGAUGCACAGUACACCACACUGACUUCUUUGCAUGGACAGCUGACUACUACUAUUAUGUUCUGUGAAGGUACUAUUAUAGCAAACCUGAGCACCUGUGACAGUGGAAAUGUUGUAAUGAAUAGUCACACAUGCAUAUUUAUAAACUGAAAGUCACAGAUAAAUUUUUUUAGUACUAACAAUGUAUGUUUUUUUUGUACUAAUUCUCUCCAGCAAACACAACAGUUAUACCAUUUCAUAUUUUGAGGUGCACAAACCCUAUUUUACAAAUAAGAGAAAAGUAUAGACCCUUUGCAUGUGACGUCACCCUCUACUCACGCGAAUUGUGAACGCCAUGACGGACGGCAGAAGAGCUUUGCUGUAGGACGGACCGCAAGCCAAAAGAGUACGAGUUCGUGUUCGUUAGUGUAAUAAAAUGUUUUUUUUUUUUUUUUUUUACUUGUAAGCACAGUGCAGUGAUAAUGGUCAAACUGUGUAUUUACAAUGUUAAAGUGGCUGACAACAAUAAAUAUUCUUAUUAGGAAUAAAACUGCAUCGUUUUUUUAACUGUGCAGAGCAGUAACGUUAGCUGAAUAGUUAGGCCUGCUAUGCUACUGUAAUUUUAAUAU